GGAUUUUCUCUCAGUAUCUGCAGCCAGAGAAGAGUAAGAUAAGAGCGACUCCCUCCACUCGUUUUGUCCUCUAAAGAAGCGCCGCAGUGACGUCCGGAGGUCUCGAAGCGGGCCGUGCAACCCAGACCUUCAGAGAGUGUGAUGCAUGAUCUACUUCCUCUAAUGAUGCCGUGCCUCUCAGCUCUCGCCGCCCAAGUGCAUGCUGGGAUGUGACCUCUGCAUUCAUCUCUCCCUCUCUGUGUGGUCAGGAGAAGCCAAUUUCCAUCCAAUUUUCUACUCACUUUCUUUUUUCCACCGUGAAUGUCAGUUUCCUGCAGGGAUCACGAGGGUUUUUAAUGUUAUGCGUCUGCUGCAGUCCUAGAGUCACAUUAGGACAUUAGGAGCCAGUGAUUCACUGAUGACUGGACAUAAUGAGAGACUGUGACAAACAGGUGUGUGUGUGUGUGUGUGUGGUACAACAGGACAGACCCGCAGGGAAGGUCACGCCAAGCAGUGGCUCACUAGACACACGUCAGUACAGCAGCGGUCAGAUUUACUCACACACACUCACUAGGGACCAGUGCACAAGACUCGAGGGGAAACAUCUUCACAGAAACAAAAGCAUGGCUGGAUUUGCUUAAGUUUGCAAACAAGUUGCUUGAGUGUAACUACAUUGACAUUCAGAAGUUUGAGGUCAGUAAAAGAAAGUCUCUUCUGCUCACCAAGGCUAUUUAUUUGAUCAAAAAUACAGUAAAAAUAGUGAAAUAUUAUUACAAUUUAAAAUAACUGUUUUCUAUGUGAAUAUCUGUUAAAGUGUAAUUUAUUUCUGUGAUGUGCAGCUGUAUUUUCAGCAUCAUUACUCCAGUCUUCAGUGUCACAUGAUCUUCAGAAAUCAUUCUAAUAUGAUGAUCUGCUGCUCAAGAAACAUUUCUGAUUAUUAUCAAUGUUGAAAACAGUUGUGCUGCACAAUAUUUUUGUGGAAACUGUGAUAAAUUUGAUUUUUCAGGAUUCACAGAUGAAUAGAAAGUUCAAAAGAACAGCAUUUAUUUGAAAUAUAACUCCUUUGUGACAUUAUAAAUGUCUUUACUGUCACAUUUGAUUAAUUUAAUGCAUGCUUUAUGGAUAAAAGUAAUUAUUUCUUUACAAAAAAAAAAAAAAAAAAAAAAAUACAGAAAGACCCGAACACAUUUAUAUAGACGCAACAGCUAUUUACUUGCUAUUUUGUUCCCAUGAAUCACUAUUUUAUCAUGUAUCACAGCACAGAAGCUCUAUUUUAACACUCGUUUUGCUUCAUUACAUUUGUAAUUGCUUAUUAAAUGAAGCAGCUGAGGCUCCUCAGUGGAAAUGACACAGAAAUCUACCGCAAAAACUCAUUUAUGGCUUUGUCGAAAUCAAAAGAUCCCAGUUUUAGUUGGUACUGUAUUUAACAACGUAGGAUCACUUCUGAGCUCUUUGACAAAGAUGAAGUAGCAGUGAAUAUAAGAAACAAUAUAAAUAUUAGACUAACACUAGAUAUAGAUAAAGCAGACAUUACUCCAGUCUUCAGUGUCACAUGAUUCUUAAGAAAUCAAUCUAAUAUGCUGAUUUGCAUUUCAGAUUUUUAUCAACAUAUAUUUAUUUUUUAAUUUUUUCAUUACUAAAAAAAUUACACAUUAUUUUUAUUUUAAUUUUAUUAAUUAAUUUUUACUUUUUUUUUUUAAGAUUGCUUCUUGGCUUUUUGACAGAUCAAAUGAAGUAAAAUGUAGAAACAAUAUACAAAAAUAAAUAUAUGUAUAAAAAAGACUAUACUAAUAACACAACAUAAGAUAACUAAUUAAAUUGUUACUUUUUUAGUACUUUUUGUUUGCUAGUAUCUCUGAGCCGAAGCCGAGCCUGACAGAAACAGAACUUCUCUUGCUCUCACUGAAUGUGCAUUAGUGGCCCACACAGGCUUCUGCGUCCCGUGGGAAAAACGAAUCGAUUUAAAUUGCGUUUUGUCGCAAGAGCGAGCGCAGUGGAGGAUCCUCUCACCUCUGCACAAUGCUGGAAACUUCAUUAUUUAUUUUUAACUCCUUAAUUCUCCUUUGAAGCGUGUGAAUGUGCAUGUGUGUGUGUGUGUGUGUGUGUGUGUGUGUGUGUGUGCGUUUUAACAUUAUCUUUUACAUUUACAUAAAUCUACAAAAUAUUUUCUGCUUGAAUGCUUCCGUAGGUCAGCAGGUUUGCUCAUGCAAUAAAAAUCAGGGGUAAUGUACAGAAGGUCUUGAUCUAAAUGCAUUCAUUAUAAUGGACAUUGUAAAACAAGAACCUUAUUAACACUGUUUGCAUUUGUAACAUGCAUUGUUUAACAAUAUGUUAAAGUAAUGUGUGUGUGUGUGUGUGUGUGUGUGUGUGUGUGUGGCAUAGUUUGGUAAUUGUACGAUGUGCCGAUGUCAGAUUGAUAGGUGCUUUCAUCAUCAGUAGAGGACAUUUGGAGAACAUGAGUUUACUGAAAACAUGAGCAACAUGAGACGAUAACAGCAGGAAAAUCCAUCGAUCGCCUUCUUUUUAAA
rnacentral:lncRNA from 1 species